ACGGGUGAGUAACACGUGGGAACGUGCCCUUUGGUUCGGAACAACUCAGGGAAACUUGAUAUAAUACCGGAUAAGCCCUUCGGGGGAAAGAUUUAUCGCCAUUGGAGCGGCCCGCGUAGGAUUAGCUAGUUGGUGGGGUAAAGGCCCACCAAGGCUACGAUCCUUAGCUGGUCUGAGAGGAUGAUCAGCCACAUUGGGACUGAGACACGGCCCAAACUCCUACGGGAGGCAGCAGUGGGGAAUCUUGCGCAAUGGGCGAAAGCCUGACGCAGCCAUGCCGCGUGAAUGAUGAAGGUCUUAGGAUUGUAAAAUUCUUUCACCGGGGACGAUAAUGACGGUACCCGGAGAAGAAGCCCCGGCUAACUUCGUGCCAGCAGCCGCGGUAAUACGAAGGGGGCUAGCGUUGCUCGGAAUUACUGGGCGUAAAGGGAGCGUAGGCGGAUAGUUUAGUCAGAGGUGAAAGCCCAGGGCUCAACCUUGGAAUUGCCUUUGAUACUGGCUAUCUUGAGUACGGAAGAGGUAUGUGGAACUCCGAGUGUAGAGGUGAAAUUCGUAGA
rnacentral:rRNA from 7 species